UACAGAGACUGCAAGCGUUAUUCGGAUUCACUGGGCGUAAAGGGUGCGCAGGCGGCCAAGUGUGUUAGGCGUGAAAGCCCGGGGCUUAACCCCGGAAUUGCACCUAAAACUACAUGGCUAGAGCAUUGGAGAGGGUAGCGGAAUUCACGGUGUAGCAGUGAAAUGCGUAGAUAUCGUGAGGAACACCAGAGGCGAAGGCGGCUACCUGGACAAUUGCUGACGCUCAGGCACGAAAGCCAGGGGAGCAAACGGG
rnacentral:rRNA from 1 species